rnacentral:rRNA from 1 species
UACAGAGGGUGCAAGCGUUGUUCGGAAUCAUUGGGCGUAAAGGGCGUGUAGGCGGUUUGUUAAGUCAUGUGUGAAAUCCCCCGGCUCAACCGAGGAACGACGCAUGAAACUGGCAAGCUAGAGUACCGAAGAGGCGAGUGGAAUUCCUGGUGUAGCGGUGGAAUGCGCAGAUAUCAGGAGGAACACCAAUAGCGAAGGCAGCUCGCUGGGACGUUACUGACACUGAGGCGCGAAAGCGUGGGGAGCGAACAGG